rnacentral:lncRNA from 1 species
ACAACAUAUAUCAGUUUAGAGAACCACAAAAAAAGUAAUCAUUUCUCAAAAAAUCAUCAGAUUGAAUUACACUUUUUUUACAAGACUUUAACAUGGCAAAGGUUGGUCUCUCAUUUUGUCACCCUCCUCUUUUUUCUAUAUUACUCCUUUUUACUUGGUGUUCUAUUUGCUUUCCAUGUGAAUGAGGGUUGAGGUCAUUCAACUAUACAUUGAUGAGAGUGAAACUCACCAUUUGACAGCAAUCUAACAAUUAGUUUUUCAAGUCUUGCUGCUCCAGUGCCAGGCCUCAGAAUAUCAGCAUCACCCCAAGCUGAGCAUGUUAUGUUUCCAGGCUCACCACCCAAGCACCACCCACCAGGCACCACUUCACCAGGAUUUCGUCCCAAAACAUCUUGGUCAAUGCGAUCGAGUACAGGAUCAUCUAACUUGAAUUGAGUGGCAAAGGCUGCUCCACUCUGAAUCAUUGCAUCAAAUUCACUAGAAUUAAGUGCGCGGGGCACCUUCUUAGAAGGCUUCUCAAAGGCUACAUAUUGUAAGUUAUGGUUUAUGACAGUCCUAUUGAACUGACGUGAAUUGCAUAUGACUGUUGGGAAAUAAUUGAUUAGGAUGAAGGUGUAUUUGAUAAAUACAUCAUUAGGAUCCUCGGAAGGUUGUCCACACCCAAGAUGCAGUGCUCUAUCAAAUUACGACUUACAAAGGAAAAAGAGGUUCCUGCAGGGAAAAUAAACACUUGUGUUGAUGAAAAAAAUAAAAUAAUAGUUUGUCCAACAAGCAAAAGACUUUCAAAUUAAAGGGAGAAUUAUUUCAUGGUCAUUUGGCCCCGACCAAGCUCAUGCUAGGAUAUAAUGCUUUUGUAAAAGAAAGGAGCAGUAAAUAAACUUCAUAGCAACAUGCAUGACUUGAGGAAGAUCACUAAGCUCCAUAAAGAGAAAAAUUUGACCAUGUCCAAACUAUUGAAUUUUACAAUUAUAUGGGGUUCCAAAAUUAAUAUUUUGAGCUACGACUCUCUUUGCUCUUUUAUAUUACCUUCCUUUUCAUUUCUUAUCCCUUUCCACUCCUUUCUUUUCAAAAACAUACAAGCAAUUACUGGGUUCAUCUGCACAAAAAAAACCCAAUCACCAAGCUAGUUCCUGGAGAUUUUAGACAGGAAAUUUUAUUGAUACGCCUUCUAUCCACAAAAUAAUCAGUUUAAAUCUCCAAACUGUUUAAACUUAAAACUGCCAAUUUACUCAAAACUCUUGAUAGUAGAACUAAUCCUCUUGCAAAACUCUUAAUAUAAAUGACACACCAAACUAAUUCCCCAUCGGCAUCAACUGAGGAAUCAACAAUGUUAGGGAGAAACUAAAAAGAUCCUGUAGUUUUUGUUCCAUCUUCAGAUAUGCCAAUUCACCUAGCAACUAGCAUUUGGUUAUUAGUAACCAAAUUUUUCCCAUCUAAUAAGAGUAGACAGAAUCCAUCAAACUUAGAGUAUCCACUAGGUUGAUGGAAAAUUGUAGGUUUUCUAUACUACACCACAGGUGAGUUAGCAGUGAGGGAAUUGGAGUCAUCACUGGCUUGCUAGUCAGAAAAGUAUAACUAGAAAUCAAUGGUUGAGAAUCUUUGAUGAGUUUUCAACCAAUUUCAAUUGGGGAAGAAUUUGUUUCACAAAACAAAUUAGGUGGAAUACAACAUAAAUGAAUCUUAGUAAUCAAUUGUGAGGCCCUGAAAUCAAUGGUUGAGAAUCCUUGAUAAGAGUAUUAUAUCAAAGUAUUCAGUGCGCUAUUCCAGUUUUCAAUAAGGAGCAUGAUGAUCUGAGCUUGACUAGGUUCUACUACCGCUAACAUAUUAAAGUAAUUAAGUUGAUGGCUCUCUGUAUAACUCUCCAUCAAAGAACAGAGGCAAGAGGAUUAUUCUUCCCUUAAACAGGAUUCUACAAAGUUAAAUUCUCCCCAAGUCUAGCUCCAUCAAACAGCAGAGAUGGGACUGCUGUUCUUUUUUCCUGAACGAAUCCUAUAACCUUACACCUCCAGGCUAAUGCUAAAACUGAACUUCUAGUCACCACUUAUAUGGUCCAUUUCACACAUCACGGCACACAAUAUUUGAUUGGGAUAUGGAGGAGUUAUCCUGAGAAUUUAUAAUAGUGCAACUUACAUUGCCUGACAUGCUACUGACCAAUAAAACUUUCUCAAAGAAAAAAAUGGGCAGGGAAAACUGGAGAACAACGAAGUAUAAUCAAUAACAUCCUUGGAAUAUUAUGCAAAACCAUCAAAAUGUCAUAAUCUAACCCAUCUGGUUAACUACAAAUUUUGCUUCUAAUCUGCUAUUCCGCACUAAUUCAAGCUAUACCAUGCUUGUUCCCAGUUCAAACUAGUUCAUAAGCAAUCAGUAGGCAUGCUACACUGAAAUAUCUCUUCUUUGUCCAUGACAAACAGCAUUAUGUAUUAGCUCAGUGCAAUACGCAUCUAAAAGAACAAUCAAAACAAUAGAAGAAAACAAACCUGUAAAUAGCCUGAAAGAAUUAGGCAAAUCUCGCUUUUGAGUAGCAUAAAACAUCUCAGAUUUCUCCGACAAGUAAAGCCCCGGAUCAACAAUUAUUGGCUUCAAUUGUCUAGACCUGCAAAACCACCACAUGCAACUUAUAAAUCCUUAACAAAACCAACCACAUUAACAUGACACCAAAAACAGCCAGUAAGUCUUAAAAGUCAGUUUCACAUACUCUCUCCAUCCAAUGUAACUCGAGUGAUUGACAAAGUUGAGAUCUUUAGGCAAAUAUGACAAAAUGUGAAGAAGAUCUACAAAACCCACAAAACAAAGACAAGAACUUUAAUCUCAAAACCAACAAAAACACACAUCAUAUAAUCCAAGAACAAAACUAAAAAUAUUUGAAAAAAGAAAACACAAAUGCCACCAAAAAGUUUAAAACGUUUACCAUCUGGAGUAACAAGUGGAUAAUCAGCAGCACCAAGAUUAACAAACCAAUCCCAUUUCUUUGGCAACCUCAACAAUAUAGCAGCGCCAUGAAGUGUGGGAAAUGGUAGAAGACCCCUUUGGGUAAGCAAAAUCAGCCUUCCCGAUCACAUUCACAUUCUGUGCAGCUUUAAAAAUAGGCACUGAUUGGACACUAAGAGCUAAUUGAUCACGAUCGGUUUGUGGAGCAGAGAGGUCCAGGUGGAGCAAGUAUUGGUUUUUCGGGUGGUAAGUGGCAUAUAGAAGUCUAAGGACCCGAUCCAAAUCACCCUUGGACCCGGAUAUCAAGUAGGCGAUGGAGGGUGGGUUGGAUCAGAAGGGAUUUUGGUGAAAGUGGGUUCGCGGUUUGGGAAGAGAUACGGGUCGGGCCGGCCAUGGGUGGAUAUAGAGGAGGUGUUGAAGGAGUAAGAGGAGAGGGUGAAGAUGAAGAGGAGGGAGAAAAAGGAGGUGGUUAGGAUUAUGAAGAGCGUGGUUUUGGUGUUGUCAUUUGUGGAGGAGGAGGAGAGCGGUGGUGGUGGUUGUUGUGGGACUUGCAUUUUCUUGGAAAAUGGAAGGGUUUUCUUUCGUCCGUGAAUCAGUUCGAUUUAUCUGGUAUUUUUUAUAUUGAAGGAAGUGAAGUGGGCCUGUGUUGUGCGUCCGGGGUUUCGGUUCCUGGGAAACAGGAAGAGCGUAACAUUUUUUGUUAUUUUGCUUUAAUCAUUUUUUGGUUAUAAUCGGUCUGAGUUCAAAAAGAUUUGCUUCCUCUUUUAACUCAUCACACUUGUACCAAUCUUAAAACUUGGAAUACAUUACGAGAAAAAAACUGGAAUCAUCAGCAAAAAAUUGAAAGGUAUAGUGUUUUCAUUGUAUAUACAUGUGAAAACAUUGUUAAUUAUAAUAGUAAUUCUUUGUUUUGUUUUUUUUGCUAUUCAAUUUUUUUCUAUUCUUGUUAUUUAACUCUAUUUUUCUUUGAUUUUGUUAAUUUUCUCUGAGAAAAAUAAGAUUGAGUUGAUUCUCAAUUUUAUAAAAAUAAUAUUUAUAAAAAAAUAAAAAUAAAAGGACUAAGAUGGAAAGCAAGGGAAAAAUAUAGUUUUUUUUUACAUGGUAUAGUUCAUUCGGUGCCUUUUGGGGAAAAAAAACCUAGAGAUUUUUCUCAGUUUUUAUUUUAAUUAUUUUAGUUUGAAAAUUAUAUAUUCUAGUCUGAAUUUUCAUUCACUUUUAAGUAAGAAAAAGUUAUUGGAUGUUCAUAUUUCAAUAGUAAGAACUUGUUUUAGGUUUUAAUAACUUUAAUUUGACAAAAAAAUAUUCUAUUGAGAUGUUUUUUAUUAUCUAUCCUGGCAUAAAAAAGUAGGUUCAAAUUUAGAAAUAAUAUUUUUUGUUUAAUCUUGUAUUUUUGAAUAUAUUUAGAAGUGUUUUGAAUUGAGAAAUUAAUUAAUUUAUAUUUUCAUGGUAUUUUUUAAAUAUUUUUAGAUGAAAAUAAAUUUUUAAAAUUCUAAACUCAAACCUCAAUUUUUUAAUCAUAAAAGAUGAUUGAAAACCUCUCUCUAUUAACUCUGAUUUAUUUCCCAUUGAAAACCUGACCUCUUCUGUUUUUUUUUUCUUUUUAAUUCUGAUUUUUUUUGAAGUUUUAACUAACCCCUUUAUUUUUUUUUUACUUUGCAUUAUUUUUUCAUAUUCAAAUUAAUAACCUCUCUCUAUUAUUUUUAAAUUGUUUAGAUUAUUUGUUUUAAAUAGCAGUUUUAUUUUUAUAAUAUUUAAAGAGAUUAUUGUAAUUUAUUUUUAAAUAUUUUAUUUUAUAUAUGAUAUAAAUAAUUUGUAUUUGCAUUUUGUAUUUAUGAAAAAAAAAUUAUUUUUUCUAGUAAGAAAAUAUAACUUGUAAGAUAAAAAUGAUAAAAAAGUGUAAAUUAAAAGAAAAUAUCGGGAGUAUAUACUCAUAAUAUAAGCCUAGGUUCUUGACCCUGUUGCUGCUGGAGCUUCUGGUUUCCGGUUAAAGGCUUGUUUGGAGCUUGUGGGUUUGAGGCCUAGUGUUAUUAGAGGAAAUGGGUCCGAGAUUAUUGCUCCUUCAAAGGCUUCUGGUGGAACCACUAAGGUAUUGGAUUUUUCCUUACACGAGAAUUUAUAAAACAUCAAUUCAGCACCCUUGUGAAAAUUGCAAAACUAGAAUUACCAUGCUUGAAAUUGUUUUUAUUGGAUUAUUACAACAUGGGAGUCUUAGUUUUUCUUUCAAUUUCUUUUGGGGUUUUAUGUUCGUUUCAGCUUCAUGAUUGAGUUUCAUUUUCAAGGUUGUAGAUAGCUCUCAUGAGUCAAUGGUGUUGAAUAUUAAACUCAUCAUCCAGAAAGUCAAGGAAGACAACCACCGCCUCACCGGCCACCAGCUGUCACCGACCAGCCGCCAGCCACCAGCUGCCACCGCCUAGCUGCAUUCACACCAUUGGCCGCCAACCACUUUCACACCAUGANNNNNNNNNNNNNNNNNNNNNNNNNNNNNNNNNNNNNNNNNNNNNNNNNNNNNNNNNNNNNNNNNNNNNNNNNNNNNNNNNNNNNNNNNNNNNNNNNNNNUCCAUUACUGCCUUUGGUGGAUUCAUUACCAUGUUUUGCUUGCAUUUCUAGAAAACCCAUUUCAACUUUGUGUAAGUUUUUCUGUUUAUUCAUUUCGGUAUCCCUUUGUGCUUCAAAAAUUGAAUCUUUGUAAAGAGGAAAUGAUAAAGCUACUUACUUGACUGGUAGUUUCUGUUCUUUUUCAAAUGUGCGUUACCAAUUAAGUGUUAUAAAGUGGAAUUUUGGCUUACUUGCUGCGCUAAAUAGUUUAGCUAGUAUACCAAGGACAAUGGAUACACAGUGAAUUUUAGUGGAGCUUAUCUAGGUUAAGAAACAAAAAUAGCUUAGAUUGUGUAAAGCUUUUAUCUAAGGAUGAGGUAGAGGAUAAGAACUUAGCUUGGGGAUACUGGGUUUAUUCUGUUGUUUUUAUUGUCUUGUUUUUUGGAUGUUUGCUGGGAUUUAAGGGUGGGUGUAUGUAUAUAUGCUGGAACAUAAAGGGUGUGGAGUUGCAAUUGAAUGGUUCCAUCAAUCAUGAAUAUUCGAUGGUUUUGUUUAUCUGAAUGAAUGAUAAAAUGUGAAGAAUCCAACUAGCUAGACCCUAUUAUAACAUGAAUGUGCUACAAUGUUCAUGUUUUGUCUCCUGUGCGUUGUGUGCUAUUAAGUAAAACUCUCCAACUCAUACGGUCAGGCUGAAGUAAUAUCGAGGUAUAAUUGUGGAGGCUAUUGAGUGCCCCCUUUGGGUUUUAAAGUAGUUCAUGGAGAAGCAUUCUUCGUUGAUGCUUGUACCACUAAAAAUUGCCAUGCAUCUUGUUAAUAUAUUUUUAUUUCUUUUGUAUAUUUACAUCAUUUCUAUUGUCAGUUAUUUUGGUGUUGAGUUAGCGGGUAACAUGUUCUUUAAUAGUAAGACGCAGAGAGAUCUCAAAGUUGAAUUCCAGAUCCGGCACAUUCAGAGCACAAGCAUCCAAUGUUGGUAUAGGAUCUGGGGGCUAUGAAGGCAAGGAGGAACAAGACAACCAGAAAAGUUUUGUCAAUGGUCCACCUGGUGAUAACUUGCCUGAAAUGUAAGUGAUAUGAAGAAAUACUGACUCUUAUAAAGCUAUAAUCUGGUAAACAUUUGUGUUGUUUAAGCCAUUAUGAUGCACUAUAAAUUUCUCUCCUGGAGAUCUCCAGUUUUUAUGGCACUGCAAACUUCAUAUAGACAUCUAUGAUGAGUGAUUUUGUAUUUAGCAACAUUUGCAUGCACAAAUGGAAGGAGAAUCCUUGAGUGUUUCUAUUACAUAGUUGCUCUUUAAAGUGGAGCUGGCAACCGUUUUCAGUUGAAGAUGUUAUCUAAAUCUGAUUUAUGAAGAUUUUCUGUUGGUACUGUAUGAUUCAAACCCCUCUUUCCCACCUCCAGGAAGCUAAAGUGGCCAUUCACUGUCAGAAAUAUGAAGAAAAGAUGUCCACACCUCCUCUGUUAUCCUUUAUGCAAAUCACAUGCUGUUGACAUAAAUAAGAAAAAAAUCUUUUGGGGAUAUACCUACUUGCAAUUUUGCUAGUCAUUAGAUUUCAAACCCUAACUUUUUUUUUUUUGGGGUUCAACAACACUCAACAGUCAACCGGCUGUUUCUGAAUUUGUUUAACAUUGAUGAUCUUAAACAUCUAGUCAGUGCAUCUGAAGUCUAAUUUGCCAGAGGCUUAGGAUGGACAUAUUUUAAGUAAGACGUCACUCAUAAUUCUUUCAUGAUUUGCAGUGUAAAACCACCCAGCAAAAUUCCUUAUCCUCUAUCUAUAGCUAUUGUGCUGCUUGGAUGUACUUUGGUAUUUUCACUUAUUGCUUUCGUGAGAGGUGGACCUUCAUCAAUUUUAGCAGCAAUCGCCAAGUCAGGAUUGACUGCUGCAUUCACAUUAAUAUUUGUUUCUGAAAUAGGGGACAAGGUAACCAGUUUACAGUUAAAACUUUUCUCUUCAAUCGCCAACUAAUUCUAUGUCCGUGAGACUUUUUUUGAUAUAUAUUUUCUAAUUUACUCUGUUCAGUUCAUCAUCUCAUUUACUUUAUUGAAGUUCUGCACACAAUGGCUAGAUGGCUUGACUUUUUCAAAGUAUUCAUUUUACCUUUUUCUCUUGGUAGAGGUUUGUCAAAAAAGGUUUUUUAUUAUUCAAAUCUUGCCCUAAGGGAAAAAUGUAGAGGACUCUGGGAGUACAAAAUCUUCCCAGGGAAAUGAAACAUGAAGUAUGACCUAAAGCAUGCAAUCCAAUUUGCUCAAAUUUCUUGUGAAUUAAAGCAAAAUAUCAAGCUAUUUAUUAACAUACUAAGGGCUUAAGGAUACUUCUGGCAUGCUUUAACUGUUGCUCUUUUCAAGUUGAUUACAAUUGCUUUGUCUUACAUGAUUUUUGCUGACCAAAUAACCACUACCACUACCAUCUCCAGAUUUAUCUUCCAUUAUCUGCUCGUUCAACAUUGUAGGGGAACUUCUUACUACUGUUUACAUUCAUUCAAGAAUAUGACAGAAAUUUCAUGAACUUCUCUACAAAAUUAAAGCGAACAAACUUUUGGAGCCUCCCAAAAUGGUUAGGUAUAAAAAAAUAUAGACACAGGAAAUAAUUUUUUAUCACAUCAAUUUUCCAAAUUGAAGGCAAAGGAAAGCCAACUGUAAUUUGGUUGCAACCACAGGUAAAUGAGAACAAAUGAUAAAUAAAGUGUACACUCUGGAUGUUUUUCAGCAGUCAGUGGCAGCCUUUAAAGUGUAACAAAUAUGUGCUACAAAUGCCUUUGAUUUUUCAAAAAAUUUAAUAAGUAAUUGAUCUUUAACUUUGCACAUUUCCAUGCUUGUGGCCCCAAGCUCUAAUGCCCUUUUGCGUGAUCUGCAUUCCAGCAGCUAGGCCUGAUAACUGCUAAUCUGCUAUUCAUUAUGACCUCAUUAGCUCCUGCUGGUGAGAUAGAUUCAUUGGAUUUGAUCUUGUAGUCUUCAUGAGUAAUGAAUACAACAGAAAUAUCUAGUUUUUUUUCUGUUUACAGGUUCACAUUCACAAAUGAAUGGUGGAAAUCUUAUUCUAUGAGGAACCUUGUGUUUUUCUAAUUUAAUUGAAGGCAUGAUUCAAACAUAAGCAGAAUGGUGAUCAGGAGUAGUACAGACUGAUGAGUUAGAUUCUUUUAGCUGAUGUGUGAAAAUAGAGACAGUACAGGUCCAACUGGGAUAUGUUUUACUUAUUUGAGGAUUUUGUUUCCUACAAUGUGAAUCCAUUUGCUUGCUGAAGUUGACUAAUUAUCUGCACUUCCAAAUUUCUGGAGCCUAAAAUUAACUCUCUCAUGUAUUGACAGACAUUUUUUAUUGCUGCACUCUUGGCCAUGCAAUAUGAGAAAGGAUUGGUAUGUUUCUCCUGAACUUUCAACCCCUGUUAAUUCAGGAUUGCUUAUGUUAUGUUCUUCAAUGUUUGUUCUGGUUCAAUUUUCUUAAAUGUGCUCAUAAAUAUGAUAGUUUUAUUCCAUAGGGGUGAAUAAAAAUCUGAAAACCCUCAGAAGUUUGCAGCUUACUCCCACAAAGAAUUUGAAAAAUGAGAGACUAAUAAGUGGGAACUUAUUGGCACUGUCAUUCAUUUAUAAUCAGCAAAUAGAAGUAGUCAUUUUUAAGUUAAGAUUGCUGGUCGUUCAUUGCAGAUAUGUAUUAUAGUAUCUAGUUAGAUGAUCACAUAUCAGUUAAUGCUUUCUUUUGUGACUAAUUUUUCUUUUAAUCUCUCAAAUCAUUGACCAGGUUCUUUGGGAUCAAUGGGUGCUCUUUCACUUAUGACAAUCUUGUCAGUGGUAAUUGGACGAAUAUUUAAUUCAGUGCCUGCUCAGUUCCAGACAAGUAAGCUAUUGUCUUGGUAACUGUCCACUUAGCUGACUUGCUUGUGUUCUUUAUUAAUGACUUUAGUGAAAUAGAAACAUGUGUCUUAUCUUGUUAGCCAUGAACAGCCCUCCAAUUGGAGAAUAUGCAGCAGUAACUCUUCUCAUGUUCUUUGGGCUAAAAUCAAUAAAAGAUGCAUGGGAUCUUCCAUCAAAGGACGCUAAGACUGGUGACAAAAGUUGUCCGGAACUUGAUGAAUAUGCUGAAGCUGAGGAGCUUGUGAAAGAAAAGGUAAUCUUGUAACUCAGAAGCCUGAGCUUUUGGGGAAUAUAUUCAGCUCAUUCAUUCAGAGUGAGUUGCAAAAGCCAUAGUCAUGAUUAUUCUUGUUUGAUGAUUUUGGGAGAUUUUGCUUUGUGUUCUUGGAAUUUGUUUCAUUUGGUGUUUCCCUAAAAUUCAUCGCAGCAGAUACUUUCUUAAUGACUACAGGUCUCAAAACCGCUCACCAAUCCAUUUGAGAUUGUGUGGAAGUCAUUCAGCCUUGUCUUCUUUGCUGUAAGCAUCCAUACCUUUAUCUUCUUUUUUCAAGUUUAAUAGUAAGAAUUUCUUUUUCCUAACGGCAUUUUGGUCUCACUUAAAGGGCCCUUGAUAGGGAGAAUUUAAACGUGGUCCUCUGUAUGGUUUUUGCAUGAAAUGUUAGCUCUCGAAACUCCAAUUGCACCUCGCUAUUGUUAUUAAAAUUGCAGCAUAAACAUUUGGAUACAGUCGUAGAUUUUCAUUUUCAUGCUUUCAUAUCUUAUUGGCAACUUCACUGUGAGACAGUGAAUGUUAGAAGGCAUUAUUUAAUGAACCGAAAGUUUCCAGCUUCACCAAAUUGUAAUUGCUUCUAGGAAUGGGGAGAUCGCUCAAUGCUUGCAACAAUUGCUCUUGGUGCCGCGCAGGUGUGAUUUCAUGAACUGUUGACCAUAUGAUAUAGCUAUUCUCUUCAUAGCUGAGAAUCAAUCACAGCAUUGCUUCCCCUUUUCCCUUUCUGCAGUCUCCAUGGGGUGUGGCAACUGGAGCCAUUGCUGGGCACCUGGUUGCAACAACCAUCGCCAUUCUAGGCGGAGCCUUUCUUGCAAACUACAUCUCAGAAAAGCUGGUGAGAGCUGCCACCAUGUAUAAUGGGUUAUUAUAAAACAUCUCAACUCAUAUUCUGUAAUCUAUGCAACUCACUCUGCCUUUUCGACCAGGUUGGCUACUUGGGUGGAGUGCUGUUUCUUGUUUUUGCUGUUGCCACUUUUUUUGGCUUCUUCUAAUGAGUUGGGAAUCAAGAGAAAUAGUUUUCGGGCAGCCAUAAUGGAGCACAGUUGCCUGCGGAUGUUGGACAGCAUUAGUUAUUAGAAAAAAGAUAGUUAAUGAAGAAGAGCAAAUUAUGUGCCAUGCAGCUCCAUGAGAUUGUCGUAUCCAUACCAAGACCCCAUCUUAGGUCAGGUGCAAGUUAUGUUGUGUGAUAAUUGAGACAUUUGGAAGACAAUUAUAUUAGAGAAUUCAGUUGAGACUUGGAAGAUCUGUAUAUUUUUUUCAGGAUGCAGAGUUACAUCCUUUGUUAUGGGUAAGAAAUUGACACUUCCGCCAUUAAUUUUUUUUACUCAAAUUUACAUGAAACGAGUGGUUUGCUCUGUUUUGCUGUUUGGUCUUCACAAGCUAGGCCCUCGAUCCAAUGGCGCACACUAGAAAACUACCAGUACCUCAUUAUUGUUCUCUAUCCCAGCAGAUUAUGGCAAAACCAUGUUCAGUGGAUUCGGAUCUAAAUGGCUAGUUCUUUUUAUUAUUAUUAUUAAUUCGGAUCUGAAAGGUGACAAUGCUGUCUAAUUUAUCCAUUCAUUAAUUUGGAAAUCCAAAUUUUGGCAUUCCAAGUAUCUAGUGUUAAUUACCAGGUCACAUGAAUUAAAUAAUUCAAGAUUCAAUGGAAUAAAUUGCCAUGGAAAACACCCUAAAGACAAGAACAGCAAGAAUAUAGCACAAAUAAUUCAAAAUCUAAUAGCACUUAUAUGUCAAGUUAAUUUCUAUAUUAAAACAAGAAAUUAGAAAAAUUAUUAAAUACAAGAAAUUUUUAUGAUACUUAAACCAUAACUAAUAGCAUUUUAUAUGUUACAUCGUGAUUAUAUUAAUUAAUAAGUAUUAUUGAACGUAUAUGGUAUCGCGAUGAUUAUUUUUUUAGAUUGAGAUAGUAGAGAAUAAUGUGGGUGGAAAAGAUAAUAAAUUUUUAUUUUUUAUCAGUAAAAAAAAUAAAAUAAAAAUUGUUAUCUAAUAUUUUGUUAAUUAAUAAGUAUUAUCGAACGUAUAUGGUAUCGCGGUGAUUAUUCUUUUAGAUUGAGAUAGUUAAGAAUAAUGUGGGUGGAAAAAAUAAUAAAUUUUUAUUUUUUAUCAGUAAAAAAAAUAAAAUAAAAAUUGUUAUCUAAUAUUUUGUUCGUUAAAAAUCCUAACUAGUCUUAAAGUUUGAAAAAAAAGACUAAUUAUAUAUAAAAAAUGUAUUAUCACCUCUAAUACAUCUUAUUUGAGGUAAAUUGUAUUAUUUAUUUGUCUGAUAUAAACUAAAAAAAAAUUAUAUUUUUUAAUUAUUAGCUUUUUUAGAGUUUAAGAAAAGUCAUUUUUAUUAAGAAAAUCAUUAUCUUAUCAUAUGAAAAAACUAACAAUUCUAAUGUUAACAAAAAUAAAUUGUCUUUAUAUUUAAUAUUAUAUAUAUAUAUAUAUAUAUAUAUAUAUAUAUAUAUAUCACAUUUAAUUUCAUUAUUCGGGGAUAAAUGAUAAAGCUGGAAUUGGAGGGGGUGUUGUCGAACUAUAUGUGAAGAAGAUAUGAGUGAGCUUUAUUACAAAAGGACAAAAAAACGAAUUUGGAUAGUUAGUUUUUUAAUUUUUUGAACAACCAAUAAUUCAAAUAAUUAUUCAGAAUACAAUUUGAGUAAUUCUGGUAAUAUGAUAAUUCUUUUUUGACAACGUUAUAUUUUAUUAAUUUGUUAUCUUUUUAUUUAUAAAUCUUAAAACUACUGUACUUGUAAUAUUUUUUUAUCUAAUUAGUAAAAACUUUUCGUUGGGUCUAAUUUUGGAUAAUUAAUUAUAUUUUUUUUUUAUAUUGUAGGUAAAAAAUAUUAAUGAGGUAAAAAAAUUCAAAUGAAAGGAAAAAAAAAACUCCAAAUUGAAUAAAGGAAAAAUCGAGUAAUUCGAAAUGAAAAAUUUUCAUAUUCACCCUAAAUGAGGAAAUAACUUACAAUGAAGUUUAUAUUGAACGGUUCAUAUUGCUCUAAAAAUGAUCUAAAAAAAUAAUAAUUAUCGCUAUAUAUUAUAAUAAUGAAAAAAAAAAGCAUCUGAAGGAAUUUUAACCAAAGCAUCCUAGAAGCCACCCAAAUGUGUAUGAGUGGUCGGGAAAUGUCCACAACAGCGAAGCUAUCCAAAUCCAUUUUAUCACAACUCUCUUCGAUCAAGAUUACAUCCGGCAACAAGAUCAAGCAAGGUUGAAACACAGGCAAAUUAAGAUGUCAACAGAGGUGAUGUUUCUUCGCAGUCACUGUUACCACGUACCAGAAAGAACAUCACCGCUCCUCUAUCCUUGCACUUACAGUGUCUAUGCCAAUAUCAGAUCGGACCACCCAGUAAGACUAAUGAGGAGAAGGCUGACAGCACCUAAACUGUUAAUGCUGCCACAGGUACAGAGACCAAAUAGAAAAUCAUCACCGUUAACAACAAUAACAGCAGCUGCUGCAGGCGUGCCACUGCCUCCACUUGAUUUGACUGAAGAGAAUGUUAAACAGGUGUUGGUUGAUGCUCGAGCAGAGGCAAGUACAGGGAUCUUUCUGAGAUCAGACUUUCUUUGUUUUUCUCUUGUCUGUAUGAGUUUGGCUAGUUUAAAAUAGUAGGAUGUGUGUUUGUUUUUGCAGCUUGGACAGAUUUUUGACUCUUCAGUGGGCAUAACAGGUGACUCCUAAGGUACACAUAGGCUUGAUUUCUCUACUGAUAUACUCUCUCUGUAAUGUUGUUUAAGGAUGUAAAAUUGAACAUGUAACCAGGACAAGUUGAGCUUGCUGAAUUGGAUGGACCAUUUGUGGUGAUCAGUCUCAAAGGUAGGUUUUGGCACGAACGUUCCAUGGUUCUUGCUAGAAUUGGCAACUACUUGAAGCAGAGAAUCCCUGUAAGUUUAUUCAUAGCAAUUGAGAAAUAAUAAUAAUAAUAAUAAUAAAUAAAUGAUACGGUACUCGUUCGGUCAUGGCUUCUGAUGUUCUCUUGUUUCCAGGAAAUUUUGGAGGUAGAGAUUGAAGAUGAGAAACAGCUGGAUGACAGCCCAGAAAAUUUUUAAGGUGUUCGGUUCUAGUAGGUUGUAAUAAUCUGCUUUGUAGCUCUCCGUUCUGUGGCAUUGUAUUGGAUUUCAGUAAUUUCUUCGGGUGAAAUUUAAAAAAUUAACGAAAGAGUUGCGCUACUAUUAUGAAAACACUAGCUACAGUGCUGAAAACGGCAUCAUUUCAUUAUAUAUAUAUAUAUAUAUAUAUAUAUAUAUAUAUAUAUAUAAUAAUAAUCAUAAGUGAUUUCUUAAAAUUUGAAUUUGUUUGGUUUUUGGUGUUUGAUGCAUGUAUGACAUGGUCUUUAAAUUUUAUUUGUGUUAAAACGAAGUCCUUCAAUGUAGAGAAAGGAAGGGGAAUCAAGAGGAGAGAGAAUCAUUUAUUUAUUUUUAAGUUUCUAGAGUUGAUGAAAAUAUGUUUUGAGGGUUAUUGAGAUGAUUCUAAGGUUUUGGAGUUAAAAAUGAUUUAGAAAUUAAGUUUGGAUGGUCAAAUUUUUUAGAUAACUUUCCUAUGAUUAAUAGAUUGCAUAUAAUAACGUGUUGUUUGCCACUAUUUUUUUUUUUUUUUAGCCUAGAUUACAUGUGUUUGGCCAAGCAUGUUGAGAGUGGUUUAAUCUAACUCCUUUUUAUUUUUGAUGAUUUUAUUUUUUUAAUAUUUAUUGUUUUCUCAAAAUAAAGAAUUUUCAAUAAUAAAUUAUUAUUGUGAUUUUUCUAUGCACUGGUUAAUUAUAAUUAAUUAUCCUUCUAAUAGAGGUUGAUUUAGCACUUUUUUAGCAUCGGUUUUCACAUUCUUUCCAUGAUUGACUAAGCUAGUUUGAUUUUUUUUUUAUAUAAAAUAAAUAACUAAUAGAGUGUUUUCUUAUUGUUUAAAAUCAGAUAUAUCCGUAUGAUAUAUUUAAACUCAAACAUAAAAUGCACACAUGGUGGUAAAUACUAUAAAUUUCAUAUUCAAUUAAAAAAUAUAAUUAAUUUUGAUUUAUUUUAAUUUCAUUCAUGUUAUAUUUUUAAAUAGAUUUUAUAGACUUACUCACAAGAGGAUACUCUGAUAGAGAAUCCUAUAUUAGAACUAACGGCAAAUCUGUGUUAGUUCUACCUUUUCAUUUUUCGUCAUUUUUGACAGUUGCUCCAAGAACACGGAUAUUCUUAUAAAAAUGAAGAAACGAAAUAGUUUUUCGUUGGUUGGCAGCCUCGUCAAAAAAAUCUUCCUGGAAGGUUGCUACAUUUUACUCUGCAGAUUCCUCGAUUAAAAAGGGCAAUGGAAAUCUCUACAGGAACAGACCUGGUAUUGCACAAGCAGUCCACCAUCAUCAACAGAGUCAUCAUCUCCAAGGCAUUUAGUUAAUUGAGUAACGAAAAGCAAGCACAUUUAGGAGCAUCAGCUUACGAUCAAUUAGUUGAGUCUCUGCAGAGCAUCUCCAUGAACAAGCCUCUGUUACGACCAGUCCUUGAAAUAGUGUCACUAUUGGACUUGGUUCUCGUAGAAGUAUCUUCCACUAGAGCAAUGUAAAUAUCAACAACAACUACGUAUUUUUGCUAAGGAACAAUGGGGUCAACUCCAACACCUGAUGAAUUGUAAUUUCACUCAACAACAUAUAUCAGUUUAGAGAAACCACAAAAAAAGUAAUCAUUUCUCAAAAAAUCAUCAGAUUGAAUUACACUUUUUUUACAAGACUUUAACAUGGCAAAGGUUGGUCUCUCAUUUUGUCACCCUCCUCUUUUUUCUAUAUUACUCCUUUUACUUGGUGUUCUAUUUGCUUUCCAUGUGAAUGAGGGUUGAGGUCAUUCAACUAUACAUUGAUGAGAGUGAAACUCACCAUUUGACAGCAAUCUAACAAUUAGUUUU